GGCUGCCUGCUUGGCCGGGGAGCCCCGGCGCCGCCACCUUAGUGGCGAAGUGAGGCGGCGGCUGCGCCCCGCAUCAUGGAGGGCAGCCUAGCCGCGACCCCAGCCCCAGCCCCGGUCGCCACCGACAGCCGCCGCCUCCCGCGCCGGGUCUGCCGGCUCUCGUCGCUGUUCUCAAGGUGCCGUCCCUUCCUCACCUCCAAGGCAAUAUGAAGGCGACCCGGGACCACGCGAGCGCCCCUUUCUGUACGCGCUUCAACCACUCCGACCCGGGCAUCUGGGCGGCCGAGCGCGCCGUUGAGGCGCCGAACAACCUCACGCUGCCCCAGGAACCCAGCGAGGACUGCGGCUCGGUGUCCGUAGCCUUUUCGAUGACCAUGAUGAUCACCGGGUUCGUGGGCAACGCGCUGGCCAUAACGCUCGUGUCGAAGAGCUACAGGCGCCGGGAGGGCAAGCGCAAGAGGUCGUUCCUGCUGUGCAUCGGCUGGCUGGCGCUCACCGACAUGGUCGGGCAGCUGCUCACCAGCCCGGUUGUCAUCGUCCUCUACCUGUCCCACCAGCGCUGGGAGCAGCUCGACCCGUCGGGGAGGUUGUGCACCUUCUUCGGCCUGACCAUGACCGUCUUUGGGCUCUCCUCGCUCUUCAUUGCCAGCGCCAUGGCCGUCGAGCGGGCUCUGGCCACCCGGGCGCCGCACUGGUACUCAAGCCACAUGAAGACCAGCGUCACCCGCGCCGUGCUGCUAGGCGUAUGGCUGGCCGUGCUCGCCUUCGCCCUGUUGCCGGUGCUGGGCGUAGGUCAGUAUACUGUCCAGUGGCCCGGGACUUGGUGCUUCAUUAGCACUGGGCCUGGGGGCAACGGGACUAACUCCCGGCAAAAUUGGGGCAACGUUUUCUUCGCUUCUGCUUUUGCCAUCCUGGGGCUCUCGGCGCUGGUGGUCACCUUCGCCUGCAACCUGGCCACCAUUAAGGCCCUGGUGUCCCGCUGCAGGGCCAAGGCCACGGCGUCGCAGUCCAGCGCCCAAUGGGGCCGAAUCACGACAGAGACGGCCAUCCAGCUCAUGGGGAUCAUGUGCGUGCUGUCGGUCUGCUGGUCGCCGUUGCUGAAUGGUCAGAUCAGCUCCUGGACAGUCUGCAUAUGGCAAAGUGACCCCACGAGGAGCCAGACAGAAGGGUGACCGUGGAGAUCCGGAGCCCUCCUGCGUCCCCGGGAGCCGUGGGGGCCUGGUGUCUGUGACUGUCACCUGGGAGGAGACACAGCGACGCUCACCGCUGAUGGUUCCGUCGUGGCAUCCGCUGCGUCUCAGACCUCAGCCGCUUUAUGGUCGGGUGGGCAUGAGCCGCUCAUGGCGCUGCUGGACACACUUGACCGUCACACCGUCGCUGGACUCCAGGGUGGCCGGUGGGAGACCAUGGAGAUCCGCCUCGCGGGGAAGGGAGGAAGAAUACUAAAGUGGGUUGCCAUGCCCUUCUCCAGGCAAUCUUCCCGACCUAGGGAUCGAACCCUUGUCUCAUGUCUCCUGCACUGACAGGGGGGUUUAUUUUUUACCACUGUGCAGCCUGGGAAGCCCAUUUUAGAAGACAGAGCUUUUCUAAUCCUGGAGACUGAUUUAAAUGCCCUGCUUCUAUACUCCAUAGGCAUGCACAUACCCUUUUCAUUUAAUUCUGCACAGUUAUAUUUACAGUUGUCAUAAUAUUUAUUAUGACAAUAAGGAUGAUUACCCACAGUAGACAAAUGGUUACUUCACAAUAGGAACUGAGCUAAGCAUUUCGUAGACAUAAUCUCAUUUUCUUCUGUCAAUAACUCUACAAGGGGAUAGUGUUAUCUCUUUUUUCAGAUGAGGAAAUGGUUUUGAGAUGUUAAGUAACUUUACCAGGGUCACCAAGUUAAUGAGAAGUGGAGCUGACCCUCAAAUCCAGAUUUGUCUAGGUUUAUAGCCUAUGUAAUGAACUGCUAAAUUAAAAGGCCUCCCUCUUGUUAAUAUCCACUUAUUUGUCUGAUUCACUGUAAACUGCGAAAGAGCAGAGACCUUACCAUAUUUGUCUAUAAAUCUUCCUGGCCCAUAGCAGCCACUCAAUGAAUGAUUGUGGAAUGAGUGAAUGAAGAAACGAAGUUGUAGUAAA